rnacentral:rRNA from 1 species
GUAGUCUCGCACAGAUGCAUAUCAAUAAGCGGAGGAAAAGAAACUAACAAGGAUUCCCCUAGUAACGGCGAGUGAAGCGGGAAGAGCUCAAAUUUGAAAUCUUAAAGGGUUUCCCUUUACGAAUUGUAGUUUAAAGAAGUGUUUUCUGUUGAGGUUUUGGUAAAAGUUCUUUGGAAUAGGACAUCAUAGAGGGUGAGAAUCCCGUAUUUGACCUUUACUUUCAACUUUGUGAUACACUUUCAAAGAGUCGGAUUGUUUGGGAAUGCAGUCCAAAAUGGGUGGUAAAUUUCAUCUAAAGCUAAAUAUUGGCGAGAGACCGAUAGCGAACAAGUACCGUGAGGGAAAGAUGAAAAGAACUUUGAAAAGAGAGUUAAACAGUACGUGAAAUUGUCAAAAGGGAAGCGUUUGACACCAGUGUUGUUUUUCUGAAAAUCAAUUAAAGAACUGUUUAUGCUAAGCUGUUUAGACUUUAUCAGCUAACUGUUUAGUUUUGAGCUUUUCUUUAAUGCACUUUUCAGUUAACAAGUCAACAUCAGUUUCUUUUGCUGUAAAAAAGCUUGAGGAAGGUGGCUUGAGAUUCGUCUUAAGUGUUUAUAGCCUCUUGCCUAUGCAGUCGGAGAGAUUGAGGUCUGCAGCGUAGAUCCUUCGGGGCUAAAUGCAUUUGUGCUAAGUUAUAGCAUUUUAUAGACAACUUGUUGACUAUGAUUUGUCUUGUAGCUUACUCGCUUAUGUUAUUUUACCUACGCUUAGGAUGUUGAAGACUCUACAGAGAUA